UUUUUUUAAAAAAACCUAAGUCAACUGACACAUUAUUUAAGCAGUAUCCAUGUGGUUUGAUCGAAGAUUAUAUGGUUAACUACAGCUUCACCACCACUUUGGGACUGAAUACCUCUCAACGGCAGACCGAUAGAUCUGAGUCCCAUUUGUCCAAUCCCUGGAAUAGACACAUGGAGCUUAUGCAUCUGAGAUCAAUAUGCUAGAGAAGCUACCAUUCCUGGAUGUACUCACAAACAAGGCUAGUGCUGGAAGAUGCCUUGAAGGUCAUGUGGUCUGCUCAGUGCAAGACAGUCACAGGAGUUCUGUUAAAAUCACCACUGUUGGAGAGAGGACACCAUUCAGUACUGCCAAGCACCUGCUGCUCUGUAUGGGGGCAGCUUUUGUUCACUGUCCAUCCCAGUGUUUCAGCCUCUGUCCACACAGAGGAGAUUCUGCAGCCCAAAUUUAAGGGAGAUUAAACUGAAAGGUGAGUUUAACAGCAAAGCACCAUUUUCUGCUUGGGAAGGGAAAAGAGAAGUUACUAAUCUCAAUUGUGGUGAAGUUUUGUUUCCCACACAGUAAUAGCAGACAGAGAACCUUCAGAACAUGGCCAAACAGCCCUAAAAACCUACAACAACCAUCAGAGUUUCCUUUGUCUGCUUCUUUCCUCUCCCUAUGCCUCAGGAGAACUUUCAAUGCCUGUUUGACUUGGACCUCGUAGAUUUAUCUUUGUGGCAC
rnacentral:lncRNA from 1 species